rnacentral:rRNA from 1 species
UACGUAGGGUCCGAGCGUUGUCCGGAUUUAUUGGGCGUAAAGAGCUCGUAGGCGGCUCGGUAAGUCGGAUGUGAAAACUCGGGGCUCAACCCCGAGACGCCAUCCGAUACUGCUGUGGCUUGAGUCUGGUAGGGGAGAACGGAAUUCCUGGUGUAGCGGUGAAAUGCGCAGAUAUCAGGAAGAACACCAAUGGCGAAAGCAGCUCUCUGGGACGGUACUGACGCUGAGACGCGAAAGCGUGGGGAGCGAACAGG